UACGAAGGGAGCUAGCGUUGUUCGGAAUCACUGGGCGUAAAGCGCACGUAGGCGGAUGUGUCAGUCAGGGGUGAAAUCCCGGAGCUCAACUUCGGAACUGCCUUUGAUACAGCACAUCUGGAGUCCGGAAGAGGUGGGUGGAAUUCCUGGUGUAGAGGUGAAAUUCGUAGAUAUUAGGAAGAACACCGGUGGCGAAGGCGGCCCACUGGUCCGGUACUGACGCUGAGGUGCGAAAGCGUGGGGAGCAAACAGG
rnacentral:rRNA from 1 species